GGUUAAGCGACUAAGCGUACACGGUGGAUGCCCUGGCAGUCAGAGGCGAUGAAGGACGUGCUAAUCUGCGAUAAGCGUCGGUAAGGUGAUAUGAACCGUUAUAACCGGCGAUUUCCGAAUGGGGAAACCCAGUGUGUUUCGACACACUAUCAUUAACUGAAUCCAUAGGUUAAUGAGGCGAACCGGGGGAACUGAAACAUCUAAGUACCCCGAGGAAAAGAAAUCAACCGAGAUUCCCCCAGUAGCGGCGAGCGAACGGGGAGCAGCCCAGAGCCUGAAUCAGUGUGUGUGUUAGUGGAAGCGUCUGGAAAGGCGCGCGAUACAGGGUGACAGCCCCGUACACAAAAAUGCACAUGCUGUGAGCUCGAUGAGUAGGGCGGGACACGUGGUAUCCUGUCUGAAUAUGGGGGGACCAUCCUCCAAGGCUAAAUACUCCUGACUGACCGAUAGUGAACCAGUACCGUGAGGGAAAGGCGAAAAGAACCCCGGCGAGGGGAGUGAAAAAGAACCUGAAACCGUGUACGUACAAGCAGUGGGAGCACGCUUAGGCGUGUGACUGCGUACCUUUUGUAUAAUGGGUCAGCGACUUAUAUUCUGUAGCAAGGUUAACCGAAUAGGGGAGCCGAAGGGAAACCGAGUCUUAACUGGGCGUUAAGUUGCAGGGUAUAGACCCGAAACCCGGUGAUCUAGCCAUGGGCAGGUUGAAGGUUGGGUAACACUAACUGGAGGACCGAACCGACUAAUGUUGAAAAAUUAGCGGAUGACUUGUGGCUGGGGGUGAAAGGCCAAUCAAACCGGGAGAUAGCUGGUUCUCCCCGAAAGCUAUUUAGGUAGCGCCUCGUGAAUUCAUCUCCGGGGGUAGAGCACUGUUUCGGCAAGGGGGUCAUCCCGACUUACCAACCCGAUGCAAACUGCGAAUACCGGAGAAUGUUAUCACGGGAGACACACGGCGGGUGCUAACGUCCGUCGUGAAGAGGGAAACAACCCAGACCGCCAGCUAAGGUCCCAAAGUCAUGGUUAAGUGGGAAACGAUGUGGGAAGGCCCAGACAGCCAGGAUGUUGGCUUAGAAGCAGCCAUCAUUUAAAGAAAGCGUAAUAGCUCACUGGUCGAGUCGGCCUGCGCGGAAGAUGUAACGGGGCUAAACCAUGCACCGAAGCUGCGGCAGCGACGCUUAUGCGUUGUUGGGUAGGGGAGCGUUCUGUAAGCCUGCGAAGGUGUGCUGUGAGGCAUGCUGGAGGUAUCAGAAGUGCGAAUGCUGACAUAAGUAACGAUAAAGCGGGUGAAAAGCCCGCUCGCCGGAAGACCAAGGGUUCCUGUCCAACGUUAAUCGGGGCAGGGUGAGUCGACCCCUAAGGCGAGGCCGAAAGGCGUAGUCGAUGGGAAACAGGUUAAUAUUCCUGUACUUGGUGUUACUGCGAAGGGGGGACGGAGAAGGCUAUGUUGGCCGGGCGACGGUUGUCCCGGUUUAAGCGUGUAGGCUGGUUUUCCAGGCAAAUCCGGAAAAUCAAGGCUGAGGCGUGAUGACGAGGCACUACGGUGCUGAAGCAACAAAUGCCCUGCUUCCAGGAAAAGCCUCUAAGCAUCAGGUAACAUCAAAUCGUACCCCAAACCGACACAGGUGGUCAGGUAGAGAAUACCAAGGCGCUUGAGAGAACUCGGGUGAAGGAACUAGGCAAAAUGGUGCCGUAACUUCGGGAGAAGGCACGCUGAUAUGUAGGUGAAGUCCCUCGCGGAUGGAGCUGAAAUCAGUCGAAGAUACCAGCUGGCUGCAACUGUUUAUUAAAAACACAGCACUGUGCAAACACGAAAGUGGACGUAUACGGUGUGACGCCUGCCCGGUGCCGGAAGGUUAAUUGAUGGGGUCAGCGCAAGCGAAGCUCUUGAUCGAAGCCCCGGUAAACGGCGGCCGUAACUAUAACGGUCCUAAGGUAGCGAAAUUCCUUGUCGGGUAAGUUCCGACCUGCACGAAUGGCGUAAUGAUGGCCAGGCUGUCUCCACCCGAGACUCAGUGAAAUUGAACUCGCUGUGAAGAUGCAGUGUACCCGCGGCAAGACGGAAAGACCCCGUGAACCUUUACUAUAGCUUGACACUGAACAUUGAGCCUUGAUGUGUAGGAUAGGUGGGAGGCUUGGAAGUGUGGACGCCAGUCUGCAUGGAGCCGACCUUGAAAUACCACCCUUUAAUGUUUGAUGUUCUAACGUUGACCCGUGAUCCGGGUUGCGGACAGUGUCUGGUGGGUAGUUUGACUGGGGCGGUCUCCUCCUAAAGAGUAACGGAGGAGCACGAAGGUUGGCUAAUCCUGGUCGGACAUCAGGAGGUUAGUGCAAUGGCAUAAGCCAGCUUGACUGCGAGCGUGACGGCGCGAGCAGGUGCGAAAGCAGGUCAUAGUGAUCCGGUGGUUCUGAAUGGAAGGGCCAUCGCUCAACGGAUAAAAGGUACUCCGGGGAUAACAGGCUGAUACCGCCCAAGAGUUCAUAUCGACGGCGGUGUUUGGCACCUCGAUGUCGGCUCAUCACAUCCUGGGGCUGAAGUAGGUCCCAAGGGUAUGGCUGUUCGCCAUUUAAAGUGGUACGCGAGCUGGGUUUAGAACGUCGUGAGACAGUUCGGUCCCUAUCUGCCGUGGGCGCUGGAGAACUGAGGGGGGCUGCUCCUAGUACGAGAGGACCGGAGUGGACGCAUCACUGGUGUUCGGGUUGUCAUGCCAAUGGCACUGCCCGGUAGCUAAAUGCGGAAGAGAUAAGUGCUGAAAGCAUCUAAGCACGAAACUUGCCCCGAGAUGAGUUCUCCCUGACUCCUUGAGAGUCCUGAAGGAACGUUGAAGACGACGACGUUGAUAGGCCGGGUGUGUAAGCGCAGCGAUGCGUUGAGCUAACCGGUACUAAUGAACCGUGAGGCUUAACCUU
rnacentral:rRNA from 1 species